rnacentral:tmRNA from 1 species
GGGGACGACAUGGCUUCGACAGGAUCAGGUCGCUUUUAAUUGCAUGCCGGACUGAGCAUUUCCGUUACGCGGCUCAAACUUGCUUAAACGCAAACAACACAAAUUAUCGCCCAGCUUUAGCAGUAGCUUAAGUUUUAACCCCUCCUAACGAGGCGGGCUGCUUCACCUACGGACUCUGGAUAAGUAGGACUCGAAGUAUCACCCUUUAUGCAGAUAUAUUUUAGGCUUGUCUCGUCCUAAAAUGAACUUUGAGGCUCGUCUUGUGUAACUUUGCAAGUAGUGUGAAACAAGAUUAAACUCAAACAACUUCUCUAAGCAUGUAGACGUUAGGAGUAACUUGGUUUUGGACUGCGGUUCGAUACCGCACGUCUCCACCA